CUCCCGCUUGCGGGGGUGAUUAGUGGCGAACGGGUGAGUAAUACGUGAGUAACCUGCCCUUGACUCUGGGAUAAGCCUGGGAAACCGGGUCUAAUACUGGAUACGACUUCUCAUCGCAUGGUGGGGGGUGGAAAGGGUUUGACUGGUUUUGGAUGGGCUCACGGCCUAUCAGCUUGUUGGUGGGGUAAUGGCUCACCAAGGCGACGACGGGUAGCCGGCCUGAGAGGGUGACCGGCCACACUGGGACUGAGACACGGCCCAGACUCCUACGGGAGGCAGCAGUGGGGAAUAUUGCACAAUGGGCGCAAGCCUGAUGCAGCGACGCCGCGUGAGGGAUGACGGCCUUCGGGUUGUAAACCUCUUUCAGCAGGGAAGAAGCCACAAGUGACGGUACCUGCAGAAGAAGCGCCGGCUAACUACGUGCCAGCAGCCGCGGUAAUACGUAGGGCGCAAGCGUUGUCCGGAAUUAUUGGGCGUAAAGAGCUCGUAGGCGGUUUGUCGCGUCUGCUGUGAAAGCCCGGGGCUCAACCCCGGGUCUGCAGUGGGUACGGGCAGACUAGAGUGCAGUAGGGGAGACUGGAAUUCCUGGUGUAGCGGUGAAAUGCGCAGAUAUCAGGAGGAACACCGAUGGCGAAGGCAGGUCUCUGGGCUGUUACUGACGCUGAGGAGCGAAAGCAUGGGGAGCGAACAGGAUUAGAUACCCUGGUAGUCCAUGCCGUAAACGUUGGGCACUAG
rnacentral:rRNA from 1 species